GGGUUGUGAGGUUAAGCGACUAAGCGUACACGGUGGAUGCCCUGGCAGUCAGAGGCGAUGAAGGACGUGCUAAUCUGCGAUAAGCGUCGGUAAGGUGAUAUGAACCGUUAUAACCGGCGAUUUCCGAAUGGGGAAACCCAGUGUGAUUCGUCACACUAUCAUUACGUGAAUACAUAGCGUAAUGAAGCGAACCGGGGGAACUGAAACAUCUAAGUACCCCGAGGAAAAGAAAUCAACCGAGAUUCCCCCAGUAGCGGCGAGCGAACGGGGAGCAGCCCAGAGUCUGAAUCAGCUUGUGUGUUAGUGGAACGGUCUGGAAAGUCCGACGGUACAGGGUGAUAGUCCCGUACACCAAAAUGCACAGGUUGUGAACUCGAAGAGUAGGGCGGGACACGUGGUAUCCUGUCUGAAUAUGGGGGGACCAUCCUCCAAGGCUAAAUACUCCUGACUGACCGAUAGUGAACCAGUACCGUGAGGGAAAGGCGAAAAGAACCCCGGCGAGGGGAGUGAAAAAGAACCUGAAACCGUGUACGUACAAGCAGUGGGAGCCUCUUUAUGGGGUGACUGCGUACCUUUUGUAUAAUGGGUCAGCGACUUAUAUUCUGUAGCAAGGUUAACCGUAUAGGGGAGCCGAAGGGAAACCGAGUCUUAACUGGGCGUUAAGUUGCAGGGUAUAGACCCGAAACCCGGUGAUCUAGCCAUGGGCAGGUUGAAGGUUGGGUAACACUAACUGGAGGACCGAACCGACUAAUGUUGAAAAAUUAGCGGAUGACUUGUGGCUGGGGGUGAAAGGCCAAUCAAACCGGGAGAUAGCUGGUUCUCCCCGAAAGCUAUUUAGGUAGCGCCUCGUGAGCUCAUCUUCGGGGGUAGAGCACUGUUUCGGCUAGGGGGUCAUCCCGACUUACCAACCCGAUGCAAACUGCGAAUACCGAAGAAUGUUAUCACGGGAGACACACGGCGGGUGCUGCUACGUCCGUCGUGAAGAGGGAAACAACCCAGACCGCCAGCUAAGGUCCCAAAGUCAUGGUUAAGUGGGAAACGAUGUGGGAAGGCACAGACAGCCAGGAUGUUGGCUUAGAAGCAGCCAUCAUUUAAAGAAAGCGUAAUAGCUCACUGGUCGAGUCGGCCUGCGCGGAAGAUGUAACGGGGCUAAACCAUGCACCGAAGCUGCGGCAGCGACACUAUGUGUUGUUGGGUAGGGGAGCGUUCUGUAAGCCGUUGAAGGUGGCCUGUGAGGGUUGCUGGAGGUAUCAGAAGUGCGAAUGCUGACAUAAGUAACGAUAAUGCGGGUGAAAAACCCGCACGCCGGAAGACCAAGGGUUCCUGUCCAACGUUAAUCGGGGCAGGGUGAGUCGACCCCUAAGGCGAGGCCGAAAGGCGUAGUCGAUGGGAAACAGGUUAAUAUUCCUGUACUUGGUGUUACUGCGAAGGGGGGACGGAGAAGGCUAUGUUAGCCGGGCGACGGUUGUCCCGGUUUAAGCAUGUAGGCGGAGGUUCCAGGUAAAUCCGGUACCUUUUUAACGCUGAGGUGUGAUGACGAGGCACUACGGUGCUGAAGUAACAAAUGCCCUGCUUCCAGGAAAAGCCUCUAAGCAUCAGGUAACACGAAAUCGUACCCCAAACCGACACAGGUGGUCAGGUAGAGAAUACCAAGGCGCUUGAGAGAACUCGGGUGAAGGAACUAGGCAAAAUGGUGCCGUAACUUCGGGAGAAGGCACGCUGAUAUGUAGGUGAAGCGGUUUACCCGUGGAGCUGAAAUCAGUCGAAGAUACCAGCUGGCUGCAACUGUUUAUUAAAAACACAGCACUGUGCAAACACGAAAGUGGACGUAUACGGUGUGACGCCUGCCCGGUGCCGGAAGGUUAAUUGAUGGGGUUAUCCGUAAGGAGAAGCUCUUGAUCGAAGCCCCGGUAAACGGCGGCCGUAACUAUAACGGUCCUAAGGUAGCGAAAUUCCUUGUCGGGUAAGUUCCGACCUGCACGAAUGGCGUAAUGAUGGCCAGGCUGUCUCCACCCGAGACUCAGUGAAAUUGAACUCGCUGUGAAGAUGCAGUGUACCCGCGGCAAGACGGAAAGACCCCGUGAACCUUUACUAUAGCUUGACACUGAACACUGGUCCUUGAUGUGUAGGAUAGGUGGGAGGCUUUGAAGUGUGGACGCCAGUCUGCAUGGAGCCAUCCUUGAAAUACCACCCUUUAAUGGCUGGUGUUCUAACGUGGACCCGUUACCCGGGUUGCGGACAGUGUCUGGUGGGUAGUUUGACUGGGGCGGUCUCCUCCUAAAGAGUAACGGAGGAGCACGAAGGUUAGCUAAUCCUGGUCGGACAUCAGGAGGUUAGUGCAAAGGCAUAAGCUAGCUUGACUGCGAGAGUGACGGCUCGAGCAGGUGCGAAAGCAGGUCUUAGUGAUCCGGUGGUUCUGAAUGGAAGGGCCAUCGCUCAACGGAUAAAAGGUACUCCGGGGAUAACAGGCUGAUACCGCCCAAGAGUUCAUAUCGACGGCGGUGUUUGGCACCUCGAUGUCGGCUCAUCACAUCCUGGGGCUGAAGUAGGUCCCAAGGGUAUGGCUGUUCGCCAUUUAAAGUGGUACGCGAGCUGGGUUUAGAACGUCGUGAGACAGUUCGGUCCCUAUCUGCCGUGGGCGCUGGAGAAUUGAGGGGGCUGCUCCUAGUACGAGAGGACCGGAGUGGACGCAUCACUGGUGUUCGGGUUGUCAUGCCAAUGGCAUUGCCCGGUAGCUAAAUGCGGAAGAGAUAAGUGCUGAAAGCAUCUAAGCACGAAACUUGCCCCGAGAUGAGUUCUCCCUGAGACUAUAAGUCUCCUGAAGGAACGUUAAAGACGAUGACGUUGAUAGGUCGGGUGUGUAAGUGUAGCGAUACAUUGAGCUAACCGAUACUAAUGAACCGUGAGGCUUAACCUUACAACGCCGAAG
rnacentral:rRNA from 1 species